CCUCUCUCCCUCCCUGCCCCCCCUCCCCUUCUCUCUCUAAAUAAACCUCACAUGGAACUUUUUGGCCUGGUGUGGUCCUUCUGAAGCCGUGUGACAAUCAAGAUCACAACAUUGAUGCUGAAGAGAGCUAUGAAGUCCAGGCGGCCGUCGCCACUCUGCUCAACAAUGAAGUCAUUGCUGCCACCAGAGAAUGACACCAUCACCACCUGCAAUCACUGCUACACCAUCUGGACUCCAUCCGCUGGCACCUGCUGUCAUCCAUCACAUGGAUUUCCCUGCUGCCGCAGAUCAUUUCUGCUGCUUCGACACUCACAGACUUCUACCACAUAUUUGCUAUGUACUUGGCAUGUGCCCUGCAAAAGCAACCAUAAAGCAAAGAGACUUCCAGCUACAUGAAAAUCUGAUCAUCUGGAAACUGAAGAUCCAGACUUAAAAGUAGGAACUAAGUCAACAGGUCCACUUACUAUGUGAUGUCAACAUACUUUUUGAUGCUGGCACAGUCUACACAGCCACUGAAGUCCUUCCCAGUGGAAAACCAUUCCCCAAGCUCCCUCUCCUCAGCACCACAUUCAUCCCCAGGGUUCUUGAGAACAAUCAUGGCUUACUUCUCCAGAGUUUGUCUACGUUCUUCAGUUCUGCCAGAAGACCACAGCCAUGUUCCUCAGAAAUAUCUGACGUUUAUGUUUACCGUUUCCCCAAGAUAGACCAUAACCAACAGUUAAAUGUGAUCAGAGAACAGCGCACUUUCCUCAACAGGGGACA